rnacentral:rRNA from 1 species
AAGUAGCUUGCUACUUAACCUAGCGGCGGACGGGUGAGUAAUGCUUAGGAAUCUGCCUAUUAGUGGGGGACAACAUCUCGAAAGGGAUGCUAAUACCGCAUACGUCCUACGGGAGAAAGCAGGGGACCUUCGGGCCUUGCGCUAAUAGAUGAGCCUAAGUCGGAUUAGCUAGUUGGUGGGGUAACGGCUCACCUAGGCGACGAUCCCUAGCUGGUCUGAGAGGAUGACCAGCCACACUGGAGCUGAGACACGGUCCAGACUCCUACGGGAGGCAGCAGUGGGGAAUAUUGCACAAUGGGCGCAAGCCUGAUGCAGCCAUGCCGCGUGUAUGAAGAAGGCCUUCGGGUUGUAAAGUACUUUCAGCGGGGAGGAAGGGAGUAAAGUUAAUACCUUUGCUCAUUGACGUUACUCGCAGAAUAAGCACCGGCUAACUCUGUGCCAGCAGCCGCGGUAAUACAGAGGGUGCAAGCGUUAAUCGGAUUUACUGGGCGUAAAGCGCGCGUAGGUGGCCAAUUAAGUCAAAUGUGAAAUCCCCGAGCUUAACUUGGGAAUUGCAUUCGAUACUGGUUGGCUAGAGUAUGGGAGAGGAUGGUAGAAUUCCAGGUGUAGCGGUGAAAUGCGUAGAGAUCUGGAGGAAUACCGAUGGCGAAGGCAGCCAUCUGGCCUAAUACUGACACUGAGGUGCGAAAGCAUGGGGAGCAAACAGGAUUAGAUACCCUGGUAGUCCAUGCCGUAAACGAUGUCUACUAGCCGUUGGGGCCUUUGAGGCUUUAGUGGCGCAGCUAACGCGAUAAGUAGACCGCCUGGGGAGUACGGUCGCAAGACUAAAACUCAAAUGAAUUGACGGGG